rfam:Mesocricetus auratus contig190595, whole genome shotgun sequence.
UGCACUAUAAUGCUGAGAGACGUAGCAGUCACUUUGUUCUAUGAGUAACUGCAACCUCUCUCGGUGUUGUAAGGUUC